rnacentral:tRNA from 1 species
AGUUUUAUAUUUUAAGAAGAAAAGUAAAUUGCAAAUUUAUUAGUAGAUAAAAUAUCUUAAAACUU